CCUACGGGAGGCAGCAGUGGGGAAUUUUGGACAAUGGGCGCAAGCCUGAUCCAGCAAUGCCGCGUGAGUGAAGAAGGCCUUCGGGUUGUAAAGCUCUUUUGUCAGGGAAGAAACGGCUCCAGCUAAUAUCUGGGGCUAAUGACGGUACCUGAAGAAUAAGCACCGGCUAACUACGUGCCAGCAGCCGCGGUAAUACGUAGGGUGCAAGCGUUAAUCGGAAUUACUGGGCGUAAAGCGUGCGCAGGCGGUUUUGUAAGUCUGUCGUGAAAGCCCCGGGCUCAACCUGGGAAUUGCGAUGGAGACUGCAAGGCUUGAAUCUGGCAGAGGGGGGUAGAAUUCCACGUGUAGCAGUGAAAUGCGUAGAGAUGUGGAGGAACACCGAUGGCGAAGGCAGCCCCCUGGGUCAAGAUUGACGCUCAUGCACGAAAGCGUGGGGAGCAAACAGGAUUAGAUACCCUGGUAGUCCACGCCCUAAACGAUGUCUACUAGUUGUCGGGUUUUAAUUAACUUGGUAACGCAGCUAACGCGUGAAGUAGACCGCCUGGGGAUACGGUCGCAAGNUUAAAACUCAAAGGAUUGACGG
rnacentral:rRNA from 1 species